rnacentral:rRNA from 1 species
AGCGGAGGAAAAGAAACUAACAAGGAUUCCCCUAGUAACGGCGAGUGAAGAGGGAAGAGCCCAAGAUUGAAAGCUGGCGUCUUCGGCGUCCGCAUUGUAAUCUCAAGAAGUGUUUUCCGCUUCGGACCAUGCCUAAGUCCCUUGGAAAAGGGUAUCAUAGAGGGUGAUAAUCCCGUACAUGGCAUGGAGCGCCCGAAGCUUUGUGAUACGCUUUCUACGAGUCGAGUUGUUUGGGAAUGCAGCUCAAAAUGGGUGGUAAAUGCCAUCUAAGGCUAAAUAUUGGGGAGAGACCGAUAGCGAACAAGUACAGUGAUGGAAAGAUGAAAAGAACUUUGAAAAGAGAGUUAAACAGUACGUGAAAUUGCCAAAAGGGAAGGGUAGGAGGUCAGAGAUGCGUCUUGGGAUUCAGCCUUGCUUUUGCAUGGUGUUUUUCCCAAGCUGCAGGCCAACGUCGGUUUUGGGCACUGGAGAAGGGUAGGAGGAACGUGGCACCUCUCGGGGUGUGUUAUAGCCUCCUACUGGAUACAGCGACCGAGACCGAGGAACGCAGCGUACUCGUAAGAGCGGCUCUUUUGGCACCUUUACGCU